rnacentral:rRNA from 1 species
UUGACCUCGGAUCAGGUGGGGAUACCCGCUGAACUUAAGCAUAUCAAUAAGCGGAGGAAAAGAAACCAACAGGGAUUGCCUCAGUAACGGCGAGUGAAGCGGCAACAGCUCAAAUUUGAAAUCUGGCCCUAGGCCCGAGUUGUAAUUUGUAGAGGAUGCUUUGGUUAUGGCCCCGGUCUAAGUUCCUUGGAACAGGACGUCACAGAGGGUGAGAAUCCCGUAUGUGAUCGGGGCCGUCCCCUUGUAAAGCUCCUUCGACGAGUCGAGUUGUUUGGGAAUGCAGCUCUAAAUGGGAGGUAAAUUCCUUCUAAAGCUAAAUACCGGCCAGAGACCGAUAGCGCACAAGUAGAGUGAUCGAAAGAUGAAAAGCACUUUGGAAAGAGAGUCAAACAGUACGUGAAAUUGUUGAAAGGGAAGCGCUUGCGACCAGACUUGCUCGCGGGGGUUCAGUGGUCCUUCGGGCCCGCCUACUCUCCCGCGGUCAGGCCAGCAUCGGUUUGGGCGGCCGGAUAAAGGUUCUAGGAAUGUGGCUCCUCUCGGGGAG